GGUAACUAAUUAGCAGGUGAUGAUUAGGGGAGGAGAUAAAAGCCAGUGGAACCCCCUCACUGAAGGCAGGAACUGGCAAGUGACUGGGGAAGCUUCUGACUGUGAUCCUCAAAGGAAGGAAAUGUCAUCACACCAUAUGUUUCCAGAAAUCUCAAAAUCAGUAAAAGAUUGGGGUAAAAAAGCAAGAAAACCAACAGCAGUCAAUGAUUCCAGAGAAAUCAUUACACCUUUCAAGACUCAUUACAGACCCAGGAUAUCAGAAUUUCAGUGUCCCACCCACAAAGAUACUUAGUUCUGCAAGAAGUAUAAGGACAAAUAAGUUGUAUCUGAAGGACAAAUCAGCUCUCACUGGAGACCGGAGGGAUCAGGGGCCACCAUGCUGAGCACAGACUGGAAAUGUAGGAGUAUCUUCAAACAAGCAAUUGAAUGGCCUCCUGGAUUCCCAUUUCUGCUCUUCAAGCUUGCUGUGUCACAUUAAGAGCCUUUCUCCUUCAUCAGUUCAUUGCCAUGAGAAUGAAUGAGCUGUCACACACACGGAGUUCUCUGGGCUAAAUCCUGCCUGGAGGUGUCUGAAGUUUUGUUUGUGUCAAUAGAAGUUUCCUUCAUGUGCACACCCACGAAUUUCUGUGCCUGUGGGGUGGCAUUUGCUUGACAUUAUGGAUUCAGUAGAUGGAGAAUGGGAGGAGCUUUAAUUUUUAAGGGGAAGUCACGAGUUACUCACCUGCAAAUUGGAUAUAAUUUCUAUUUCUUACUUUUUAAAUCACCCCAUGAAUUAAUGAAAUAAAAACUAAAUCCACAAUCAAAUUUAUGACUCUCUCUAUAUAAAAGGGUGUUUUUUACAGCAGUAAAUUAGAUCAGAUUUAUUUUAUGUUGCACAUGUUUUAUAAAAACCCAUGAUGUAGCAACUUUUUGUAUACAUAGCAAGCACCUGUCACAGUAAAAUGCGUUAAAUGUGGUAUUGAGCAUCAAAGGUGGCCAGGUGAUUAGAAUUGGACCUUUUUGAAUCCAAUCAAAUGUUUUUGCUGACUUCAUUAGAGAUUGUUUUCCUUAAUGAUAGACAUAGAAAUAAACUGUUGCUAUUUAAUUAUCAUAUACUGUGCUUCACUGCUAAUGCUGAAAAUAAAAGGAUCGGUACCUACUUCCUAGAGCAAGCCUUU